rnacentral:rRNA from 1 species
AUUGAACGCUGGCGGCAGGCCUAACACAUGCAAGUCGAGCGAGUGGCGGACGGGUGAGUAAUUUCUGGGAAACUGCCUGAUGGAGGGGGAUAACUACUGGAAAAGGUAGCUAAUACCGCAUACCAUCAGAUGUGCCCAGAUGGGAUUAGCUAGUAGGUGGGGUAACGGCUCACCUAGGCGACGACCCUUAGCUGGUCUGAGAGGAUGACCAGCCGCACUUGAGCUGGGACACGGUCAAGACUCCUGCGGGAGGGAGCAGUGGGGAAUAUGGCGCAAUGGGCGGAAACCUUAUGCAGUAAGGCGCCGUGUGUGAAGAAGACGUUCGGGUUGUAAAGAACGUUCAGCGGGGAGGCGUUACCCGCAGAAGAAGCACCGGCUAACUCCGUGCCAGCAGCCGCGGUAAUAC